rnacentral:rRNA from 1 species
GACGAACGCUGGCGGCGUGCUUAACACAUGCAAGUCGAGCGGUAAGGCCCUUUCGGGGGUACACGAGCGGCGAACGGGUGAGUAACACGUGGGUGACCCGCCCUCAGCUCUGGGAUAAGCCUGGGAAACCGGGUCUAAUACUGGAUAUGACUCCAUGACGCAUGUUGUGGGGUGGAAAGCCUUGUGCGGCUGAGGAUGGGCCCGCGGCCUAUCAGCUUGUUGGUGGGGUGAUGGCCUACCAAGGCGACGACGGGUAGCCGGCCUGAGAGGGCGACCGGCCACACUGGGACUGAGACACGGCCCAGACUCCUACGGGAGGCAGCAGUGGGGAAUCUUGCGCAAUGGGCGAAAGCCUGACGCAGCGACGCCGCGUGAGGGAUGACGGCCU